rnacentral:rRNA from 1 species
GACGAACGCUGGCGGCGUGCUUAACACAUGCAAGUCGAACGGAAAGGUCCUGCUUUUGUGGGGUGCUCGAGUGGCGAACGGGUGAGUAACACGUGAGUAACCUGCCCUUGACUUUGGGAUAACUUCAGGAAACUGGGGCUAAUACCGGAUAGGAGCUCCUGCUGCAUGGUGGGGGUUGGAAAGUUUCGGCGGUUGGGGAUGGACUCGCGGCUUAUCAGCUUGUUGGUGGGGUAGUGGCUUACCAAGGCUUUGACGGGUAGCCGGCCUGAGAGGGUGACCGGCCACAUUGGGACUGAGAUACGGCCCAGACUCCUACGGGAGGCAGCAGUGGGGAAUAUUGCACAAUGGGCGGAAGCCUGAUGCGGCAACGCCGCGUGCGGGAUGACGGCCUUCGGGUUGUAAACCGCUUUCGCCUGUGACGAAGCGUGAGUGACGGUAAUGGGUAAAGAAGCACCGGCUAACUACGUG